rnacentral:rRNA from 1 species
CUUACACAUGCAAGUCGAGGGGUAACAGGGAUUGCUUGCAAUCCGCUGACGACCGGCGCACGGGUGCGUAACGCGUAUGCAACCUACCUUCUACAGGGGGAUAGUCAAUAGAAAUGUUGAAUAAUACCCCAUAUGAUCAUUAAUCUGCAUGGAUUGAUGAAGAAAGUUCCGGCGGUAGAAGAUGGGCAUGCGUCCUAUUAGUUAGUUGGUAAGGUAACGGCUUACCAAGACUUCGAUAGGUAGGGGUCCUGAGAGGGAGAUCCCCCACACUGGUACUGAGACACGGACCAGACUCCUACGGGAGGCAGCAGUGAGGAAUAUUGGACAAUGGAGGCAACUCUGAUCCAGCCAUGCCGCGUGCAGGAAGACGGCCCUAUGGGUUGUAAACUGCUUUUAUACAGGAAGAAUUGUACCUACGUGUAGGUAUUUGACGGUACUGUACGAAUAAGGAUCGGCUAACUCCGUGCCAGCAGCCGCGGUAAUACGGAGGAUCCAAGCGUUAUCCGGAAUCAUUGGGUUUAAAGGGUCCGUAGGCGGUCUGAUAAGUCAGAGGUGAAAUCCUGCAGCUCAACUGUAGCAUUGCCUUUGAUACUGUUAGACUUGAGUUAUUGUGAAGUAGUUAGAAUGUGUAGUGUAGCGGUGAAAUGCAUAGAUAUUACACAGAAUACCGAUUGCGAAGGCAGAUUACUAACAAUAUACUGACGCUGAGGGACGAAAGCGUGGGUAGCGAACAGGAUUAGAUACCCUGGUAGUCCACGCCGUAAACGAUGGAUACUAGCUGUU